rnacentral:rRNA from 1 species
AACGAACGCUGGCGGCAUGCCUAACACAUGCAAGUCGAACGAGACCUUCGGGGCUAGUGGCGCACGGGUGCGUAACGCGUGGGAACCUGCCCUUAGGUUCGGAAUAACUCCCCGAAAGGGGUGCUAAUACCGGAUAAUGUCUUCGGACCAAAGAUUUAUCGCCUUUGGAUGGGCCCGCGUUGGAUUAGCUAGUUGGUAGGGUAAAAGCCUACCAAGGCGACGAUCCAUAGCUGGUCGGAGAGGAUGAUCAGCCACACUGGGACUGAGACACGGCCCAGACUCCUACGGGAGGCAGCAGUGGGGAAUAUUAGACAAUGAGCGAAGGCCUGAUCCAGCAAUGCCGCGUGAAUGAUGAAGGCCUUAGGGUUGUAAAGCUCUUUUACCCGUGAUGAUAAUGACAGUACCGGGAGAAUAAGCUCCGGCUAACUCCGUG